UACGAAGGGUCCAAGCGUUAUCCGGAUUUAUUGGGUUUAAAGGGUGCGUAGGCGGCUUAUUAAGUCAGUGGUGAAAGACCUGCAGCUUAACUGCAGAACUGCCAUUGAUACUGAUGAGCUUGAGUAUAGUUGAGGUGGGCGGAAUGUGUCAUGUAGCGGUGAAAUGCUUAGAUAUGACACAGAACACCGAUUGCGAAGGCAGCUCGCUAAACUAUAAACUGACGCUGAGGCACGAAAGCGUGGGGAGCGAACAGG
rnacentral:rRNA from 1 species